CCUAUGAAUAGUUAAACCAGAGAAACUGAUAAUUUUGCCGUGGUCUCUUAAUUUUUUCCAGCACUGUAUGUGAAUUGCUGAUUAUACAGUAUAUGAAUAGUAAUAUUAAUGUGUUUACAAGUCACUUCUUAGCGACCACAUGUUCCAGAGACAAAUGAAGCAGUAAUGAUGUACAGUGGACUUCUAUUUGUUUUAUUUUAUUUUUUCUAUUUUAAAGACCAAUAUAAUAAAGGAUUUUUUGCUGUCUAGCAAAAUCACAUUUCAUAAAGUAUUGAAGUACUUUAUUCCCAGGCACAUCCUCUAACAAAUCAAAUCAAUUAUUCCUCGGGCACACUGUCUAUAAGAGCGACAGGCAUUUUGAUUAGGCCUUUGGCCCAACUUGAUUCAGGCUCCUCAGUGCUUGGGGAGCCUGUGCAAUGGUCAACAAUGGAGACCAGGCAUAGAUAAUGAUAAAUUGAGGCUUGCUAUUGUUUGAGACUAAUUACGAUGAAACACUGUAGAUAGGAGACAGUCAGUGGGAACAUGAGCAGGAUUUUAUUAUCUGGUCACAGACCUGCUCUAUACCAGAGAGACGUUCCAAUGUUCCUCAGACUGUUUUGUGGUACUCUCCUCUUCCCACGCUUUCUGCUCUCGCUCUGUACUUCUCUUUCUUUCUAUCUCUUGCUUACUCUCUGUGGGUGUUCAGUAUUCUGUAUUCAGUCCAGCGACAAAUUCCUGAUUGAACAAAGUUGGAAGCUUCUGGUAGAGGUUCUGAGACAUGUCGUCAUCCCUGUAGAGUGUAUUUGUACACAUUUCUGUGAAUCCUUUCUUCUUCUCUCCUCUCUGAAGAUCAGCCCAUUACUGUACUGUGUUUAGGACAUGGCUGACUUCUGUUUAGUCAUCCUGCUUUGUGUUCUCUCUCCCUGCCUUUCAUUCCUUCCUUUCUCUCCUCUCCCUCACCGCUCAUUCCUCUCCAAUUCUCCUUCUCCGCUGUCUCCCUCUCGACUCCCUCUCCUCUCUCUACCCUUCAGCGCUUCUUCCCUUCUAUACCUCUCCUCACUUUUUUUUAUAUAUAUUUCCAUAAAUGUACUCUUAAUUUUAUCUCACAAUUUUAUGCCCAAUUAUUGGUUAAGACAUUGUCUUAUUGCAGCAAAUCCCAAAAUGCUCGAGAGAAAUUGUGACUUUGUGAAUCCUCCGAAUCCUCUGAGCCAUACCCAGCAUACAUACUCCCUCAAAACAUAAUGUUAGCCUGCCCGAGGGAGUCUCUAGUGUUUGGUGAGACAAGGAAUGCUUUGCCUGACCCCUGAACCCCACCUCCCAUGCAAGGUCAAUAUGCAGCAAACGUUGUAGCUUCAUAAUCACAACUGGCUGAGAGACACUGGUAUUGAACUAGCUAGGAAGCCGUACUGACAGCAGGAGGUCUGAGUGGCUCACCCUCAAAACACUCCCAGGACUGCGUUCAAAUUCAGAGCGACAGAUAGGCAGCGCUACAUACUGUAUUCAUCCAGCAGGAACAACUGUAGGUGAAAACACAGAGAACAGGUUUCUUUAGAGGCUGAAAUAUUGAUGCAGCACGUC
ensembl:lncRNA